GACGAACGCUGGCGGCGUGCUUAACACAUGCAAGUCGUACGGUAAGGCCCUUUCGGGGGUACACGAGUGGCGAACGGGUGAGUAACACGUGAGUAACCUGCCCACAACUUUGGGAUAACGCUAGGAAACUGGUGCUAAUACUGGAUAUGUGCUCCUGCUGCAUGGUGGGGGUUGGAAAGCUCCGGCGGUUGUGGAUGGACUCGCGGCCUAUCAGCUUGUUGGUGGGGUAGUGGCCUACCAAGGCGGCGACGGGUAGCCGGCCUGAGAGGGUGACCGGCCACAUUGGGACUGAGAUACGGCCCAGACUCCUACGGGAGGCAGCGGUGGGGAAUAUUGCACAAUGGGCGCAAGCCUGAUGCAGCAACGCCGCGUGCGGGAUGACGGCCUUCGGGUUGUAAACCGCUUUCAGCAGGGACGAAGCUUUUUGUGACGGUACCUGCAGAAGAAGCACCGGCUAACUACGUG
rnacentral:rRNA from 1 species